rnacentral:misc_RNA from 1 species
AAGUCGUAACAAGGUUUCCGUAGGUGAACCUGCGGAAGGAUCAUUAUUACGUAUCCACGUAUCAAACCAAAUCGUGAACUGUUUCCCGUCUGAUGAGGAUUUCUGCGAGUGUUUGAACAUUUAUUAAAUGCAUGGUGAGGACUCCUAGUCGCAAGACUGGUUUCUUCGAAAUGGCACUCGGUCCUGGUUGCCCUCUCGGGGCUUCAGCCAGCUCAUUAGAUGUGGUUGAAUUUCAAUCACUAUGCUAAAACUAUUAACCCCUUGUAAGACACUUGAACUAAAUUACGGAGACAAGACCCUUAACCAGGAAACUAUCUCUGAUAAACCGAAACUUAAGAAACAACUCUUAACAACGGAUAUCUUGGUUCUC